rnacentral:rRNA from 1 species
UAGGGAAUCUUCCACAAUGGGCGCAAGCCUGAUGGAGCAACGCCGCGUGAGUGAAGAAGGUCUUCGGAUCGUAAAACUCUGUUGUUAGAGAAGAACACGAGUGAGAGUAACUGUUCAUUCGAUGACGGUAUCUAACCAGCAAGUCACGGCUAACUACGAGCCAG